AUAACCAAGAUGGUGACUGGGGCCAAGGAUUUACUCCCUGCGAUGAGCAGUGAUGGUCUGAGAGUUAUUUUUGACCAAGACUUGGGAUCCAAUUCUGUCUCAACCAAAUCUGUCUCUAGAAGCGGAAGUGACUGCUCGGACUCCGGCCACGGCUCUGGCACACGCGAGACCAACAGAGGGCGCCAUAGAUCAUCGUCCAACUCGUCAUCCACAUCUUCCUUGUCCAGUAGCAACCGGCCCAGAUCCCGCUCUCACCCUCGUUGCCAUAGAAACUCAUCCCGCUGUCGCUGCCCCACUCAUUACAGACAAGCCCACGGGAACCGACGUCACCGCUCACCACCACCCCGGCGUGCCAGAGCCAAUUCCCGCUCUUGCAGUCCUUCUUCCCUGCCGGUCAGGUCCAGUCGCCACAGAAGUAACCGGUCUCGCCACAGUUCCAGCAGCCGGCAGAGGACAAGCCCAGGGUUGGAGGGCCGUGACAGGAAGAGAACCCCCAAGUCCCCCUCAAAGAGCCAUCACAGCCGGUCCAGGUCCUCGAGGCGAUCGGCCGCCAGCCCAACUCUGGAUGAGGAAAAGGAACUCCUCAGAGCAGUGAAGGAAGACGCCACUGAGAUCCUAAGGGUUGAUCUUCCAGAGAGCACGACUCCCACACUAGACGAACCAUGCGAGGAAUGUCCCACACCAGAACCACAGGCAUGGGUGAGGCAAGAGGACGUUCCAGAAAAGGUUCCAUCCCAGAACAGCGACGCAAAGACGAAUGGCCAACGCUCAAAAGUCUCUCCAAUUAGGAGGAUCAUCGCUUUCAGCAUUCAUAAUUCUAUCGCCAAGCCAACCGUUGCCCCGGUAACGUCUGCUAAGAUGUAUAAAGUGAGUUAUGUGGGGAGAAGAAAUGGAACAAUGCGCUCAGGUUGGAAUCUCUUGGUCCCCUUUUUGUUGUGUUCUAUGAAGACUUCAAUAAAUGCCUAUUGA
rnacentral:lncRNA from 1 species